AACGAACGCUGGCGGCAUGCCUAACACAUGCAAGUCGAACGAGACCUUCGGGUCUAGUGGCGCACGGGUGCGUAACGCGUGGGAACCUGCCCUUAGGUUCGGAAUAACUCCCCGAAAGGGGUGCUAAUACCGGAUAAUGUCUUCGGACCAAAGAUUUAUCGCCUUUGGAUGGGCCCGCGUUGGAUUAGCUAGUUGUUAGGGUAAAAGCCUACCAAGGCGACGAUCCAUAGCUGGUCUGAGAGGAUGAUCAGCCACACUGGGACUGAGACACGGCCCAGACUCCUACGGGAGGCAGCAGUGGGGAAUAUUGGAAAAUGGGGGAAAGCCUGAUCCAGCAAUGCCGCGUGAGUGAUGAAGGCCUUAGGGUUGUAAAGCUCUUUUACCCGGGAUGAUAAUGACAGUACCGGGAGGAUAAGCUCCGGCUAACUCCGUG
rnacentral:rRNA from 1 species